rnacentral:rRNA from 1 species
UACGGAGGAUCCAAGCGUUAUCCGGAAUUACUGGGCGUAAAGAGUUGCGUAGGUGGCAAAGUGUGUGGAUAGUGAAAUCGUGUGGCUCAACCAUAUAAACAUUAUCUAAACUGCUUAGCUAGAGGAUGAGAGAGGUUAUUGGAAUUCCCAGUGUAGGAGUGAAAUCCGUAGAUAUUGGGAAGAACACCGAUGGCGUAGGCAGAUAACUGGCUCAUUCCUGACACUAAGGCACGAAAGCGUGGGUAGCAAACGGG